AAAAUAUUAAACUUGUAUACUCUCAACAGUUAUAUUAUAAAUAUUUAUUCAGGUAUGGUCAAAAUUUAUCCAUAUUAAUGAUAAUUAUUUAAAUGCUCUUUAGCUGUUCAUCACCAUAUUAAUACUAGGAAUAAUGACGGCUAAUUUUAAUUGAGUACUUCCUAACUGUGGCCCAGUUACAGUAAAAUAAACACUAUUAGAUACACUCCAUCGAUUAUUACAGCAAGUCUAUGAAACAUACUGUAUUACACAGCCAGUAUUAGAAAUGAAAAACUCAUGGGAAGGAUAUGUAUAAAACUUGCUCAAAGUUACCCAGCUAAUAAGUGGCUAGGACACAAUUAAACACCUAUGCAGUUUUCUUUCCUGAGCUGAAAUCCUAAAUCCUUGGCUGUAUGGCCCCUCAUUCAAAAGUCCUAAACUGGCUAAAAUUUAUAUAACAGAAAAUUCACAGAAUCAUUUCCUUCUACUUUCCACUACCAGGGCUGUUAACAGUCCCAAGCAAAAGGGCAAAAUUUUUUUCUACUUGAGAUAAGAAAAAUAUAGAGUGUGACAGAAGGUAUUCUACCAAUAUAAAAACACUUUACCAGGAAAACUGAGAAGGGGGCUGUUAACCUUCCGGGAAAUGUAGGUCUUCAGUGGAUUCCUGUUAGAGACCCCCAAAUUUCUUUCAAAAAAAAUUUGUAAUGUUCUUUUUCAGUGAAGCCUUUGCACUGCUAGAGCUGAAGAAUGUGAUCAAUCGGCUUGUUGAAUAAUCCCGCACAGUAGGUAUUCCGCUGAAGCCAACUCUAGCUGGGGGCUCGAGAGCGAAAGACACAGAUGGGGCCCUGCCGCCCCUCGAAGAGUCGGAUGGGGGCGCCCGUCCCCGGUGCAUCAAGAGGCUGGCCCCGCCAGGGGCGAGCGGCUGGCACCGAACCCCGCGCACCUCGCCGCGGGCGGGGCUGGGCCGUAGUCGGCUCGAUUUAAGGCUGGUAUCCAAGGCUGCGGCCGGUCAGGCGAGGCGAGGCGAGGCGACGUGAGCGAGGGUGCUUAGGGAGAACAGCCGCUGGCAGCUCAAUGCUGGGUGGCUAACGCUCGACGGUGCCCGGCAGCAACCCGGCCGACACCCCGACCCGGAUCCCGAGCUGCGUCGCGGACAAUGCCGCGGGCCCGUCCCGGACUACGACUCCCGACGGGCUCUGCGACCGCUCCGGGGCGGCCCAGCGUGCACUGCGCCGGCCAGUUUGACAGCCGGGCGCCCUACUCGGCUAGCUCUGCUCCCAGCCAGGGACGCUGGCCUUCUCGCGGCUUUCCCCCGAUGUCUCUCUUUAUUCCAGCUGCCUGAAACUCGGUCCCACGAAUGGCAGGCAGCGUCCAAAAUUCAACCCCGUAAAGCCAGCACCAGCCAAUAAAGCGCACGGAUGGAGGCCACGUGACAGCAGUGGGCCGGCCCUCCGGCUGAGCCCUGAUCUCUAUGGUUUCCGCGGCUCGCUAGAAGGAGUGCGGUCCACUGGAGGUCUCCCUACAUUCUUCCUCCAUUAUCUCACUGCCUCCGGUGGCUGCUGGGAUACCGGAGGACUCGGGUCCCGGCUCGACUCAGUCCUCCAGCCGCCCGGGGAAUACCUCUAGUUCUUCCCGGCCGCCGCCGCCUCCGCCCCGCCGCUUCCUCCUCCGCCUGCCGGCCUCCUUCGCCCCGCCCCGUCCGCGCAGCUCGUCCGGCCCGCCCGCAGGCCAGCUUCUCUCGGGAGCCUCCACCCAGGCGCAUGGCUCCAUGAAGCAAGAGGAGGAGGCAGAGCGCGAGAGAUCCCGUCCGCCCCAGCCGCGUCUGGGCCAGGAGAAAAGCAAAACCAUAUUCCUGCUGCUGUCAGUUUUGAUGCACUGAGAAAACUUCAGAGACCUAAGCUUUUUCCAGAGAAGAGAAGCUUUACUGGUGUUCCAGCCCUAAGAAACUUAAAUCCUCAGUGUGACACAACUCAGUCCUUCUACUGCAGCAGCUCUUUUAUAAAAGCCUCCCAAAGCUCCAAGAAGGAACAAAGAAUGUGACCCAGUAAGCUCACACCAUAAGUCUAUAUUGCAGAAACCUUUGUUCAACAAAACUGCAGAUGCUCUGUUGAAUCCACUGGAGAUUGUCCUGAUACUAAGGACAAGUAUGCUCAUAUGACAUUAACAGACAAGACACUUUUCAGAAAGACAGGCAACGUGUUGGACCUUCCGGAGCUUCUCAGAAGACAGAGGGUUUUCUUUUGAGGUAAAUUUGAUAGUACAUUUUGAUAGUACAGGAGGCGAUACGGCAUGGUGACAGAAAAGCGCCGGCUUGGUUAGCGGGACCACCUGGCAGGGCUGCAGGCUGUGCCACUUACCAGGCAGGGGACCUUGGGCCAGCUGCUUGGCCUCACUCACCCUGUUUCCUCAGCUGCAAUUGGGAUGAACAGACUGCCUGCUUCGGGGUUGCCUAAAACUCACAUUGCUUAAUGAUGUGAAAUGCUUAGCGCAGUGCCUGGCAUAGAGAGAAUUCUCAUUAGAUGAUACCUCAGCUGGGCUUUAGGAGCUACAGAAGAAGCUGCAUCUCCAUGAGCUCAGCGUGUUUCUAGCUUUCCUUUUUGUUUUCUAUUCAACCUUUCACCCAACUCAGCUUCUCAAUCCCUAAAUGACAAAGGUUUGGGAAGGAAGACUUGGACCGAUG
rnacentral:lncRNA from 10 species